UCCUUUUGGCAAAGGCUGGCUAGAGCAAGGCAAGCUUGGUAGUAGCUCUGAUUUAAGAGAUUCACAACUGCUUUUGUUCAGGAAUGAAGCUGGAACUGAGGAUGAGGUUUUCUGCUCCCUGCUGUCAUUGAGUGCAUCUUUGCUGAGAAGGGAUACCUGAGACAAAGUGAUGCUCGUGAGACAUCCAAACCAGGCAUUUUUACAACACUUGCAGUGGCAGCAGGUGUUUUCAGAAGUCAUCUUUAUGAAUUACAGGAUGAAGAGUUGGUGAAGAUGAAGCCACCUCUCAAGCUACAGUUGUGUUUUGACAUUCAGCAUUUGAAAUGCAGGAGAUUUAAGGAACUGGCUUAUGCUCCUCAUGACACACAGGAAUGAUCGAUGACGUGGGUGGGUACUCAACAUGAUUUGAGCUGCUUUCAAAUUUGGAA